rnacentral:rRNA from 1 species
AUCAACUUUCGAUGGUAGGAUAGAGGCCUACCAUGGUGGUAACGGGUAACGGGGUGUUAGGGCACGACACCGGAGAGGGAGCCUGAGAAACGGCUACCACAUCCAAGGAAGGCAGCAGGUGCGCAAAUUACCCAAUCCCGACACGGGGAGGUAGUGACAAUAAAUAACAAUACAGGGUUCUUUUGGAUCUUGUAAUUGGAAUGAGUACAAUUUAAAUCUCUUAACGAGGAACAAUUGGAGGGCAAGUCUGGUGCCAGCAGCCGCGGUAAUUCCAGCUCCAAUAGCGUAUAUUAAAGUUGUUGCAGUUAAAAAGCUCGUAGUUGAAUUUCGGGAUCAAUAUUUCGGUCAUGCCGUUGGUAUGCACUGUUAUCAUUGAUUUCUCACCUUCUAAAGAACCGUAAUGCCAUUAAUUUGGUGUUACGGGGAAUUAGGACUGUUACCUUGAAAAAAUUAGAGUGUUUAAAGCAGGCUCACGCUUGAAUACAUUAGCAUGGAAUAAUGAAAUAGGACAUCCGAUUCUAUUUUGUUGGUUUCUAGGAUCGAUGUAAUGAUUAAUAGGGAUAGUUGGGGGCAUUAGUAUUCAAUUGUCAGAGGUGAAAUUCUUGGAUUUAUUGAAGACUAACUACUGCGAAAGCAUUUGCCAAGGAUGUUUUCAUUAAUCAAGAACGAAAGUUAGGGGAUCGAAGACGAUCAGAUACCGUCGUAGUCUUAACCAUAAACUAUGCCGACUAGGAAUCAGACGAUGUUAAUUUUUUAACGACUCGUUUGGCACCUUACGGGAAACCAAAGUGUUUGGGUUC